CCUGCAGUUCCACACUCAAGGAUCUUAAUAAUGCUUUAAAAUACACAUGUAUGAUUGUGCAUGUGUAAUGGGUUGAAAACAAAGUCACUAAAAACAGACACACAUUUAUUAUUUAUCCCCCCAUUUGUUUAAGUAUUUGUCUUAAUGAAUCUAAAAUGUAUUUUCUACAUACUUUAGCGUUAGCAGUCCAUCAGGCCAAUAGAUGGCGCUUUUGCACUGUUGUAGCAGGAGAAACAGCAAGUUCUGGCCAAGAGCUCACCAUUCUGCAGAAUAAGGACCAGAACUUUACAGAGGUAAACUGUCUCUGUUCUUUUACUAUUACAGCAGUUCAUUGAGGCCCUGUCGUUCACCUCCUUCACCAAAGCUCUGUCAGGGACCUACAUGAAGAGUGCCAUCACUCACUAACUUUGACCUGUCCAGCUCUCUCAUCGGACUCAUAGACGGCAGCUUUGAGAUGGGUUUCAACAAUAACAUUGAGUUGCUUGAGAAUUCAUGUAGUUAAAACCAGAUACAGACUACAGUAUGAUCCAUUUUUUUUAGUGGUUCAAUCAGAGUCUGCUCUCAAUACUGUCCAGUUUUAUAGUUGUUCCUAUUAAUUGAUUGACUGGUGUUUGUCCAUGACUCUACUGUCAAACCUCUCACAUGGUUUUAUUUCAUGUUGUGUUGAUGCAACCUAGUAUCCAAACUGAUAGGCCAUUUUUAGUUGAAAAGAAACAGUGUCAUUUGUGAUUCCUGACUACUGUAGUGUUGUGGUUUCUUGCAGGUAACCUGCUGUUCCUGACUGUGGUCAGCCAUUUUGGGGCGAAGCUGCACCGGCCCAGGCUCAUUGCUGUGGACUGUUUCCUCAUGGCUGUAGGAUCCUUCCUCACAGGCCUGCCACACUUCUUCAUGGGACGGGCUAUCAGGAGAGCUACCCAGUCCCAGAGGGCCAUCGUGGCUUCAUCAGUGAUGCCAGACUUCUGCAGAUGCAGAGAGCUGAGAGAGAGGCCAUGGAAGCAAAGCAAAGAAAGAUAAGUGCUAUCCAUGAGAAUUAUGUCCGGACUGCUCUCAUCGGGGUUGGCAGCA